AUUCCCAGCUACUUGGCUACGUAAGAGUUCGGCCUAGCCUUUAAGGCCCAACUCGAAGCCAAGCCUUCUGCAUCAGUAAAGACUCGACGACUUGAGCCUUAAGGCUUAAAGUUUCGGUACGAUGUAUUUUAUUAUUAACUGCAAUGUUAGUGGCCAUGUAAGGAGUUUUGACGGUAUUUGGAAUCUCGAAAUUUAGCACACUAUUUUUGAAUCGUUUUUUUCGAACUAUGUCGUAAGUGUUAUUAUUAUUAGUGCUAUACGGUGACUAUUUAGGGUAGUUUAGACUAGGGGUAGCUUCACAUGCUUAGGGUGUUAUAGUUCGUAGUUUCCUAAUAGAGCCCGACGCUAAUCCUAUUGUCUAUUGUUAAGUAAAACCGAUCGUGCCACGUGCCACAACCACCUGCAUAAAAAAUCGUUUCACUUUACCCAGGUAAUUGAAUUACAACUCCUAUGGAAAUUGCAAUAAGAUUCAAAAUGAACUAAUCUUGUUACAAUGUGUGUGGUCCGUUCAACUCGCCGGCACCCAGAACUUCGGUUACUGAGUGCCGGCGAGUCGAACGCUACAGAACCAGUCUAAAAUGUGUCAUCGAGAUGCGUAAUAAGGGCGCGUUAUCGGAGAGCUCACCUACACUGGUUUCUUGAGCGUUAGCCUAGCUCGCGCUCAGGUGCCAAAUAUAAUAAUUAAGACCCUUUUUUGCAGGUAAGUAGCACGUGCGGUUUUACUUAACAGACAAUAGGAUUAGCGUCGGGCUCUAUUAGGAAACUACGAACUAUAAUAGACUUGACAGGCAACGGAAUACACAUUAAUAAAUAGUUUUACAAGUAAUUAUGAAAUUGACUGUAUCUGGGACGAGUACCUAUAUUAUUAUAAUGAAGACUGCUAAUCUGCCGAACACUGCCAAGUACUGUAAAUAUUCUUGUUUUACUGUAAUCCAUUUACCACUAAAUGUAUGAAGCUGUAAAGCGCCAACUACUCACUCUCAACAGCACUAAAGUCGAGAUUCUGCAUUCAAGGUAUAAGAUAAAAACACCUCGCUGAAGUAACUUUGUAUAAACUCGCAUCGCUCAGGCGUUGCGUCAUAUGCGUUACGCAACUUCAUAAGAAAAUUAGCAGUCGUUAUUAUAUCUCAUCUCUAGUACAGUUCACGGAAUUGCUGUCUAUAUAACUCCACUGUUAGAAAACGAUUUUUAACACCACGUAUUAUGGUGGCACCUAUAUAUCAAAACAUAUACUUGAUUAAUAAACGGUAUAAUUAUCGGAACAUAGUAAUCACAAGAAAUAAUAUUCCAAAUAUUUUAAUGCGUGUAGAAGCCUGACAUUGUGAUAAUAGAUCGAUCGCAACGUCGGGCCGUGCGCGUUGACAUCACCAUCCCCCAUGAUGAGAAUCUCGUGAAGGCCGAGAAGGACAAGUCCAGUAAGUACCUAGACUUGGCUCACGAGAUAAUCGCCAUGUGGGAUGUUGAUUCGACGAUCAUUGUCCCGAUAGUCGUUUCAGUGAACGGUCUAAUAGCGAAGAGUCUCGACCAACAUCUUGAGAGACUCUCGCUAGGUGGUUGGAUCAAGGGUCAGAUGCAGAAGGCGGUGAUCUUGGACACGGCGCGGAUAGUCCGCCGGUUCCUCUCUCUGCAGCCCUGACCACCGGUAGUUUGGGCCUUGCCCCGCUGCUGGCGGCACCCUAGGUUAGGUUUUUUAUAAUGUGUUUAUAUGUAUUUUUUAUCGUUUUGUAAGUGUUUUUAUAUUUUACUUUUAUAUUCAUAUUAUAAAUAACCUAACUUAAGACGAAAAAUAAAUAAAGAGAAAGUAUUAAUACUAUUAAUUAAAGUAUUUAUUUGGGUUUUUUGUGAAUCGGGUUGUUAGUGAGUCGUUAAACAGGAAAUAAAAUAAUGUUUUUUUGCUAAAAUAAUGAUACUUGCAAUAAUAGUCUCAGAGUCGAAAGCAAUAAAAGGAAGUUGUGUCUAGGAACAUUUUCUUAAUAUCUGCCGGCAAAAGAAUAUCUCUAAAAUAUUGUUUCAGAAAUUUAAUUUCUUUGUACCUACCGGCUUAACCUCGUGAGUAUUUAAUGUACAUAUUCGUAGCAAUCUAAUUUGAACCAUUCAUGAAACAAAUAAAGUACCUAGUAUUUCUUUUGUUUCAUUGCGCUUUAAAACAAACGAAAUUCGUUCCAAUUUACUUAUAGAACAAGGUUCAAAUUAAAAAUUGGAAAACUUUCUAUGGUGGGUCUUACGAGGAGGUAGUAGAUGAAGAAAUGUAAUCUAUACAUAUUCACGAACUCAACUGUACAGUGUACAUCCUAUACCUAUUUAAAAUUUCUUUAGAUUAUACUUAGUUUGCGAGCAAAUUAAAUGUCUAGGACACACGGACGGACAAUCAGACGGAAAUACGUACCUAUUUAGGGAUUCUUAAAUGCUAAUAGGCUGUGAGCAUAUCGGAAAGGCGUUCGGCUCAACUAUUGAUAUCAAGUUGGAUGUAAAAAGGGGGUUUAUUUUAAUGGCUUUUGCGUCGUGGGGAAGUGUGAACCGUGUUUUUUUUUAAUGUUUAAAUGCACUGCUCAAAAAUGCAACCAACAAGUCUUUACAUAUUUUAUUUGCUAGGAUUGCAUUGAGUAUGAAUGACGCAUACUUGCAUUUAUUUGCCUACGGCGAAGUAUGUAGGCGCCAUUAUGUUGAUGGUUUAUAAUAUAGAAUGCCCAAAUAUUGCCAGUAUUUUUUUAAUGGCAAAUAGAGGUAAAAAAAUCAUUAAAAUUAAUAAAAUAUUAAUAUCUGAUAAGUACUUUAUUAGGUUUCUAAAAUAUCCGUUUUAAGCCAAUAUGAAAUGUUUCCUUUGUUUAGGAUGUUAUUUUAUUAAGGAAUUGCUCUGGUGUACAUAGGUAUUAUAUUAUGACUAAGAUAAUGUGUGCAGUACAUGUUUUUACUGUAAUAAAUUGUUUGAAA